UUAUAAAUCAAAAAAAUUUUAUAAUAUCUGAAAUUAAUUAAAUUCAAGUUAUAAAAAUAAAAUUUUAUUUAAAAUACUUUUUAACAAAAGGGAAUUUAAAUUUAGAUUUAUAA
rnacentral:rRNA from 3 species